rnacentral:rRNA from 1 species
UACGGAGGGGGCUAGCGUUGUUCGGAAUUACUGGGCGUAAAGCGCACGUAGGCGGAUCAGUCAGUUAGAGGUGAAAGCCCAGGGCUCAACCCUGGAACUGCCUUUAAUACUGCUGGUCUGGAGUCCGAGAGAGGUGAGUGGAAUUCCGAGUGUAGGGGUGAAAUUCGUAGAUAUUCGGAGGAACACCAGUGGCGAAGGCAGCUCACUGGCUCGGUACUGACGCUGAGGUGCGAAAGCGUGGGGAGCAAACAGG